rnacentral:rRNA from 1 species
UUGCACGCUGGCGGCAGGCCUCACCCAUGCCAUUCGAGCGGAUGAAGGGAGCUUGCUCCUGGAUUCAGCGGCGGACGGGUGAGUAAUGCCUAGGAAUCUGCCUGGUAGUGGGGGAUAACGUCCGGAAACGGGCGCUAAUACCGCAUACGUCCUGAGGGAGAAAGUGGGGGAUCUUCGGACCUCACGCUAUCAGAUGAGCCUAGGUCGGAUUAGCUAGUUGGUGGGGUAAAGGCCUACCAAGGCGACGAUCCGUAACUGGUCUGAGAGGAUGAUCAGUCACACUGGAACUGAGACACGGUCCAGACUCCUACGGGAGGCAGCAGUGGGGAAUAUUGGACAAUGGGCGAAAGCCUGAUCCAGCCAUGCCGCGUGUGUGAAGAAGGUCUUCGGAUUGUAAAGCACUUUAAGUUGGGAGGAAGGGCAGUAAGUUAAUACCUUGCUGUUUUGACGUUACCAACAGAAUAAGCGCCGGCUAACUUCGUG